UGUAUCCUGACUACAGGUGGAUCGACGU
rnacentral:sRNA from 1 species